AAUGGAAGUGGCUGAGGUUUAAAAUAAGUAUUUUAAGCUUAGGAAAGUCCAUGUUAGCACAUGCUGCGAUUGCAUGUAGUGUUUGUGUCUAAGGAAUUAAUAACUUAGAGUACUGUAAAAAGUAACGGCGUUUUUAGCUCUAAGGAUUGCAAUAAUUACAUUAUUUUAAUCUAUGAGAUAAAAACUGAAAGUGUCACAGAGACGAGUUAAUUAGAAAUAAUUAAGUGAAACGCGAUAAACCCCUCAAGCUAACAACCCAAAAUAAUGGUAGGGGCAUGCAAAGCGAUUAAAUGAAAUUAGUUUUGCACUACUUGUUAGUAGAAGAUAAAUAGCCACACUUGUUUAACAAGAACAGAACAUGGCUUAUGCAC
rnacentral:RNase_P_RNA from 1 species